CCUACGGGAGGCAGCAGUGAGGAAUAUUGGGCAAUGGGCGCAAGCCUGACCCAGCCACGCCGCGUGUGUGAUGAAGGCCUUCGGGUCGUAAAGCACUGUGGGGAGAGACGAAACAGCGCAUCAGGAAAUGGGUGCGCCUUGACGGUACCUCCUUAGCAAGCACCGGCUAACUCUGUGCCAGCAGCCGCGGUAAUACAGAGGGUGCGAACGUUGCUCGGAUUUACUGGGCGUAAAGCGCGUGUAGGCGGACUCGCAAGUCGGUUGUGAAAUCCCUGGGCUCAACCUAGGAACUGCAUCCGAAACUGCUUGUCUUGAGUAAUGGAGAGGGUGGCGGAAUUCCCGGUGUAGAGGUGAAAUUCGUAGAUAUCGGGAGGAACAUCAGUGGCGAAGGCGGCCACCUGGACAUUUACUGACGCUGAGACGCGAAAGCGUGGGGAGCAAACAGGAUUAGAUACCCUGGUAGUCCACGCCGUAAACGAUGAGCAUUAGGUGCAGCGGAUAUUGACCUCUGCUGUGCCGUAGCUAACGCGUUAAAUGCUCCGCCUGGGGAGUACGGCCGCAAGGCUAAAACUCAAAUGAAUUGACGG
rnacentral:rRNA from 1 species